rnacentral:lncRNA from 11 species
AUAAUUUUAAAAAUUUGACAAAAUUUUUCAAUAAUACCUAUAAAAAUGGUCUUUUCUUUUAAAGUAACUAGAACAUGUCCAUGUACAUCAGUUCAGAAAGUUCCAGGGAUGGACAAAGCUGUUGUACUAGCCUUACUGGAGAAAGGUGUCAAAGGCCAUCUGGGAAAACAAGUUUAGGACUGAGACCAGGAGUAUGGGCAGUCCCCAAGUUACAAACAAGAGGAUCGGGCCCCUUAAGGAGAGAGCCGAUCCGGUCCUUGAGAGAACGGACCCUGGCGGAGCCAAUAGGAGAAAAUGAGCCGCAAUAUCACCUGGAGCCGAAAUGAAGAAGGUCCGCCAAAGUUGAAGGAAAAUCCGCCAAGGAGUCUUUAUUGAGCGAUUCAGCUGAAUGGACACUAGUAGCGAUCAUUCAAUCUACUAGCGUAACAUACAUUCAAAAUAAAGCCAUA